rnacentral:rRNA from 3 species
CAACUUUUAACAACGGAUCUCUUGGCUCUCGCAUCGAUGAAGAACGCAGCGAAAUGCGAUAAGUAAUGUGAAUUGCAGAAUUCAGUGAAUCAUCGAAUCUUUGAACGCACCUUGCGCUCUUUGGUAUUCCGAAGAGCAUGCCUGUUUGAGUGUCAUUA